UCCCUGGUGGUCCAGUGGUUAAGACUCUGCACUUCCAAUGCAGGGCCCACAGGUUCCAUCCCUGGUUGGGGAA